rnacentral:rRNA from 1 species
UGGUGGAGUGAUUUGUCUGGUUAAUUCCGAUAACGAACGAGACCUCAACCUACUAAAUAGGCAAAGACGACUCAUAUAUAGGUGAAGUUGGGAAAGGUUAUUGGUACUUCGGUACCGCUAGACCCAAUGGAUCCUUUGAGCCGUUCUUUCAACUCAUCCUUCUUAGGGGGACAAUUUAGGUCUUACUAAAUGGAAGUUUGAGGCAAUAACA